GGUUAAGCGACUAAGCGUACACGGUGGAUGCCCUGGCAGUCAGAGGCGAUGAAGGACGUGCUAAUCUGCGAUAAGCGUCGGUAAGGUGAUAUGAACCGUUAUAACCGGCGAUUUCCGAAUGGGGAAACCCAGUGUGUUUCGACACACUAUCAUUAACUGAAUCCAUAGGUUAAUGAGGCGAACCGGGGGAACUGAAACAUCUAAGUACCCCGAGGAAAAGAAAUCAACCGAGAUUCCCCCAGUAGCGGCGAGCGAACGGGGAGCAGCCCAGAGCCUGAAUCAGUGUGUGUGUUAGUGGAAGCGUCUGGAAAGGCGCGCGAUACAGGGUGACAGCCCCGUACACAAAAAUGCACAUGCUGUGAGCUCGAUGAGUAGGGCGGGACACGUGGUAUCCUGUCUGAAUAUGGGGGGACCAUCCUCCAAGGCUAAAUACUCCUGACUGACCGAUAGUGAACCAGUACCGUGAGGGAAAGGCGAAAAGAACCCCGGCGAGGGGAGUGAAAAAGAACCUGAAACCGUGUACGUACAAGCAGUGGGAGCACGCUUAGGCGUGUGACUGCGUACCUUUUGUAUAAUGGGUCAGCGACUUAUAUUCUGUAGCAAGGUUAACCGAAUAGGGGAGCCGAAGGGAAACCGAGUCUUAACUGGGCGUGAAGUUGCAGGGUAUAGACCCGAAACCCGGUGAUCUAGCCAUGGGCAGGUUGAAGGUUGGGUAACACUAACUGGAGGACCGAACCGACUAAUGUUGAAAAAUUAGCGGAUGACUUGUGGCUGGGGGUGAAAGGCCAAUCAAACCGGGAGAUAGCUGGUUCUCCCCGAAAGCUAUUUAGGUAGCGCCUCGUGAAUUCAUCUCCGGGGGUAGAGCACUGUUUCGGCAAGGGGGUCAUCCCGACUUACCAACCCGAUGCAAACUGCGAAUACCGGAGAAUGUUAUCACGGGAGACACACGGCGGGUGCUAACGUCCGUCGUGAAGAGGGAAACAACCCAGACCGCCAGCUAAGGUCCCAAAGUCAUGGUUAAGUGGGAAACGAUGUGGGAAGGCCCAGACAGCCAGGAUGUUGGCUUAGAAGCAGCCAUCAUUUAAAGAAAGCGUAAUAGCUCACUGGUCGAGUCGGCCUGCGCGGAAGAUGUAACGGGGCUAAACCAUGCACCGAAGCUGCGGCAGCGACGCUUAUGCGUUGUUGGGUAGGGGAGCGUUCUGUAAGCCUGUGAAGGUGUGCUGUGAGGCAUGCUGGAGGUAUCAGAAGUGCGAAUGCUGACAUAAGUAACGAUAAAGCGGGUGAAAAGCCCGCUCGCCGGAAGACCAAGGGUUCCUGUCCAACGUUAAUCGGGGCAGGGUGAGUCGACCCCUAAGGCGAGGCCGAAAGGCGUAGUCGAUGGGAAACAGGUUAAUAUUCCUGUACUUGGUGUUACUGCGAAGGGGGGACGGAGAAGGCUAUGUUGGCCGGGCGACGGUUGUCCCGGUUUAAGCGUGUAGGCUGGUUUUCCAGGCAAAUCCGGAAAAUCAAGGCUGAGGCGUGAUGACGAGGCACUACGGUGCUGAAGCAACAAAUGCCCUGCUUCCAGGAAAAGCCUCUAAGCAUCAGGUAACAUCAAAUCGUACCCCAAACCGACACAGGUGGUCAGGUAGAGAAUACCAAGGCGCUUGAGAGAACUCGGGUGAAGGAACUAGGCAAAAUGGUGCCGUAACUUCGGGAGAAGGCACGCUGAUAUGUAGGUGAAGCGACUUGCUCGUGGAGCUGAAAUCAGUCGAAGAUACCAGCUGGCUGCAACUGUUUAUUAAAAACACAGCACUGUGCAAACACGAAAGUGGACGUAUACGGUGUGACGCCUGCCCGGUGCCGGAAGGUUAAUUGAUGGGGUCAGCGCAAGCGAAGCUCUUGAUCGAAGCCCCGGUAAACGGCGGCCGUAACUAUAACGGUCCUAAGGUAGCGAAAUUCCUUGUCGGGUAAGUUCCGACCUGCACGAAUGGCGUAAUGAUGGCCAGGCUGUCUCCACCCGAGACUCAGUGAAAUUGAACUCGCUGUGAAGAUGCAGUGUACCCGCGGCAAGACGGAAAGACCCCGUGAACCUUUACUAUAGCUUGACACUGAACAUUGAGCCUUGAUGUGUAGGAUAGGUGGGAGGCUUUGAAGUGUGGACGCCAGUCUGCAUGGAGCCGACCUUGAAAUACCACCCUUUAAUGUUUGAUGUUCUAACGUUGACCCGUAAUCCGGGUUGCGGACAGUGUCUGGUGGGUAGUUUGACUGGGGCGGUCUCCUCCUAAAGAGUAACGGAGGAGCACGAAGGUUGGCUAAUCCUGGUCGGACAUCAGGAGGUUAGUGCAAUGGCAUAAGCCAGCUUGACUGCGAGCGUGACGGCGCGAGCAGGUGCGAAAGCAGGUCAUAGUGAUCCGGUGGUUCUGAAUGGAAGGGCCAUCGCUCAACGGAUAAAAGGUACUCCGGGGAUAACAGGCUGAUACCGCCCAAGAGUUCAUAUCGACGGCGGUGUUUGGCACCUCGAUGUCGGCUCAUCACAUCCUGGGGCUGAAGUAGGUCCCAAGGGUAUGGCUGUUCGCCAUUUAAAGUGGUACGCGAGCUGGGUUUAGAACGUCGUGAGACAGUUCGGUCCCUAUCUGCCGUGGGCGCUGGAGAACUGAGGGGGGCUGCUCCUAGUACGAGAGGACCGGAGUGGACGCAUCACUGGUGUUCGGGUUGUCAUGCCAAUGGCACUGCCCGGUAGCUAAAUGCGGAAGAGAUAAGUGCUGAAAGCAUCUAAGCACGAAACUUGCCCCGAGAUGAGUUCUCCCUGACUCCUUGAGAGUCCUGAAGGAACGUUGAAGACGACGACGUUGAUAGGCCGGGUGUGUAAGCGCAGCGAUGCGUUGAGCUAACCGGUACUAAUGAACCGUGAGGCUUAACCUU
rnacentral:rRNA from 1 species